AUGUUGAAUGACAAUGUAUUUGUUUCAUACAACCGGAAGAACUUGGAUAGGUUUCAAAAGAGGUGUGAGAAGACGGGAGACAAUAACUAUGACUCUCUAGUCAUUGAGGAUUUUGAUUGGGGAAAUGAGUGGGUUGAACCAACAAUACCUCCACCCCAAGGUGCUCGAGGGUGUCCCGAUGACAUUUCAUGGGAGCUUGCUGAUGAGGCUGUUGGUGCAAGUUCGUCGCUACAAGGUCGCAACUUUCCUAGAGCUAGCACCAUGGCAAGGGGGGCCUCAAAUGUUAAUGUCCAGUACCAAAGGCAGCGCAAAAGGGAUGCUCUGUCACAAACAUUUCUUCAUGAAGAUGACGAAUAGGAUGACCAAGAACAACAAUCAAGUAUCCCCAAUGGAGAGGAUGAUGAUUCAGACUUUCUUCAAGAUGAUGUUGAUGUGACCUAUGAUGAUGAAGAUCCAACUGCUGCUGACCAAGAUGGCGAAGACAACACAAAUGCUACCAUGGAUGGGUUCGAUGAUGGCUAUUGA
rnacentral:rRNA from 1 species